rnacentral:rRNA from 1 species
UACGUAGGGGGCAAGCGUUGUCCGGAUUUAUUGGGCGUAAAGAGCGUGUAGGCGGCCAGGUAGGUCGGUUGUGAAAACUGGAGGCUCAACCUUCAGACGUCGACCGAAACCAUCUGGCUAGAGUCCGGGAGAGGAGAGUGGAAUUCCUGGUGUAGCGGUGAAAUGCGCAGAUAUCAGGAAGAACACCGGUGGCGAAGGCGGAUCUCUGGGCCUUACCUGACGCUGAGGCGCGAAAGCGUGGGGAGCAAACAGG